rnacentral:tRNA from 1 species
GGCAAGAUGGCCGAGUGGUCUAAGGCGCUCGACUCAAGAAUCUUAGUAUUCUUCCCUAAAAAUGGGAGUUUUCGAGUCUCGAAAGGGGCGUGGGUUCGAGUCCCACUCUUGUCA